UGGCAGCCGUAGCGCGGUGGUCCCACCUGACCCCAUGCCGAACUCAGAAGUGAAACGCCGUAGCGCCGAUGGUAGUGUGGGGUCUCCCCAUGCGAGAGUAGGGAACUGCCA
rnacentral:rRNA from 1 species